rnacentral:rRNA from 1 species
CAGCCGCCACGGUAAUACGUAGGUGGCGAGCGUUAUCCGGAUUUAUUGGGCGUAAAGGGAGUGUAGGCGGUCUUUUAGGUCUGAUGUGAAAGCCCACGGCUCAACCGUGGAGGGUCAUUGGAAACUGGGAGACUUGAGUGCAGAAGAGGAGAGCGGAAUUCCAUGUGUAGCGGUGAAAUGCGUAGAUAUAUGGAGGAACACCAGUGGCGAAGGCGGCUCUCUGGUCUGUAACUGACGCUGAGGCUCGAAAGCGUGGGGAGCAAACAGGAUUAGAUACCCGUGUAGUCCCUGUCUCUUAUAC